CACCGCCCGUCACAUCACGAAAGCUGGCUGUACUAGAAGUUGCCGCGCUAACCCGCAAGGGAGGCAGGUACCUAAGGUAUGGUCAGUGAUUGGGGUG
rnacentral:rRNA from 1 species